UUUCCCAUUAUUAUAACCUUGAUCUUACCAACCAACAUUGUUCCUUCAUUUCCUGAUUCACAGUUCUUCUAAUCAUUCAUUAUCUAAAUAUAAUUAUCCAAUUCUACUAGUUCUCCUAGACUUGUUUUGGUUUUUUUUUACCAUUUCAUUUAAAAUAUUUUCUACGACCUACCUUCUACGUUAUAUCUAAACAUAGGUUUAAAUAUUUUGGCAUCGGGUGCUUUGUUGUGAUUGGAAAUAAAAUCAAGGAAAACGCCAGAACAAGGUUAAUAGCCGAACACAAAUGUCGUAUAGUAAACUCUCGUCAUAAUGAAACGAUUAUUUUUAGACUGUCACCUUUGAAAGCAGCAAUGAACUCGGAAAAAAAUGGUUAUUUUGAGAAUAGACAGUGCUGCGAAUUUUACGCUAAAGAUAAUGUCACCAUGACCUUGUUGGCCAAUAAUUACUCAGAAGAAUGGUACAUCAAUUAAAAUUAAAUAACAAAUUAUUUCCAGAAUACUUAUCGCAUA